rnacentral:lncRNA from 10 species
AGAACAGCGGAAUUGCCUUCGCCCGCCCUGCCCCUCGCCUGCUUCAGAAGCUUCCAGGAACUCCCGGGUCGGCGACCCAGCCCGAGCCGCCUGGGGCCCCAAGGGAAGCUGAACGCCCUGUGGGCUCCUGGGAUGGUUCUUCCCGUUCUUUGCGCCGCCUUCACCCAUUGAAGAGCCUGUGCCCACCCUGCCCAGUCGCUCUCGGGGCCGCGGAGGAGCUUCCGCUGCCAUCUUCGGAUCCUGUGUUCCGCACGGGGGCUCCACCAGGGCAGGGAUGGUGGUGAGGGUCGCUCGUGGGUCCCCUCGGGGGGAGCAGGGUCUGGCACUCACCAGGGCUCACGACUAGGACUUGUCGAAUGAAUUCAUUGUCGCCUUUAGCUUUUAGUCCUUUGAAGAGCCCUGAGAGCGGAAAUCAACAGAUUUUUUUCCAUGGGGAAGUUCUUUUUACAAAUCGUUGAUUUCUCAGUACCCUGCAGGGCGGGAAACUGGCAGGGCCUCCGGCGCACCUUCUGCGCGGUGGAGCCGCGGGGCUCAGCUGGGCCGUGGUCCGGCCCUGGGGCCGUAGGGCGAGAGCAGGUAAAGGGAAAAGCAAAAGCUGGGAAAGAAGCCCGGGAGCGGUGGACCAGACAUCCAGACCUCCUGAAAGGCGCAUGCAGAGGCACAGGCGGGAUCUUCUGGAAGUGAGAAUUGUUUUUGUUUGUUUAUUGUAGCAGAAUGGGGAAAUGGAGAGAGAACCUGAAAGAGCCCCAAACUCGAGGACCUAUUGCUCCCCAAGAAUAACAUCUUCCAGAAGAACUAGACAGAAAACUAGGCGUCUGGGAACUCUGAAAUCCUUGGAGGAGUAGCAUCAUCAUGACCCUCUGUGUUCCUUUUGGCAAAGGACUUGCUCCCAUUGUUUGCUUGUUCCAUUGUCUGUCUGUUAAAUAAAUAAAACCCUUUUCAUAUAUCUUUAAACUUA